rnacentral:rRNA from 1 species
ACGUGGGUGAUCUGCCCUGCACUUUGGGAUAAGCCUGGGAAACUGGGUCUAAUACCGAAUACACCCUGCUGGUCGCAUGGCCUGGUGGGGGAAAGCUUUUGCGGUGUGGGAUGGGCCCGCGGCCUAUCAGCUUGUUGGUGGGGUGAUGGCCUACCAAGGCGACGACGGGUAGCCGGCCUGAGAGGGUGUCCGGCCACACUGGGACUGAGAUACGGCCCAGACUCCUACGGGAGGCAGCAGUGGGGAAUAUUGCACAAUGGGCGCAAGCCUGAUGCAGCGACGCCGCGUGGGGGAUGACGGCCUUCGGGUUGUAAACCUCUUUCACCAUCGGCGAAGCCGGGGGCUUUUGUUUCCGGUGACGGUAGGUGGAGAAGAAGCACCGGCCAACUACGUGCCAGCAGCCGCGGUAAUACGUAGGGUGCGAGCGUUGUCCGGAAUUACUGGGCGUAAAGAGCUCGUAGGUGGUUUGUCGCGUUGUCCGUGAAAUUCCCUGGCUUAACUGGGGGCGUGCGGGCGAUACGGGCAGACUGGAGUACUGCAGGGGAGACUGGAAUUCCUGGUGUAGCGGUGGAAUGCGCAGAUAUCAGGAGGAACACCGGUGGCGAAGGCGGGUCUCUGGGCAGUAACUGACGCUGAGGAGCGAAAGCGUGGGGAGCGAACAGGAUUAGAUACCCUGGUAGUCCACGCCGUAAACGGUGGGUACUAGGUGUGGGUUUCCUUCCUUGGGAUCCGUGCCGUAGCUAACGCAUUAAGUACCCCGCCUGGGGAGUACGGCCGCAAGGCUAAAACUCAAAGAAAUUGACGGGGGCCCGCACAAGCGGCGGAGCAUGUGGAUUAAUUCGAUGCAACGCGAAGAACCUUACCUGGGUUUGACAUGCACAGGACGUCGGUAGAGAUAUCGGUUCCCUUGUGGUCUGUGUGCAGGUGGUGCAUGGCUGUCGUCAGCUCGUGUCGUGAGAUGUUGGGUUAAGUCCCGCAACGAGCGCAACCCUUGUCUCAUGUUGCCAGCGCGUUAUGGCGGGGACUCGUGAGAGACUGCCGGGGUCAACUCGGAGGAAGGUGGGGAUGACGUCAAGUCAUCAUGCCCCUUAUGUCCAGGGCUUCACACAUGCUACAAUGGCCGGUACAAAGGGCUGCGAUGCCGUGAGGUGUAGCGAAUCCUUUAAAGCCGGUCUCAGUUCGGAUCGGGGUCUGCAACU